AUACAGAAACUUGGCUGCUCACCAAAGCCAAUCAGAUGCUGAAGUUACGGGCCUUUUGUUUUCAAACUGAAUAUAAGGGAUAUAUCAAGACCUCAGUAUCACAAAAUCCUCCUCAACAAUCCUGAUCACGCUCAACAGUCUUAAACAAAGGUAAGGUAAUAUUAAUUCAACAAAUGCUCAUCAGCACCUUUGCUGUUUGGGGUUGAAGGUCUAGUUCUAGAUCUAGAUCUAGUUUCCUGUUGUAGUUGGUUAAAUUUAACUAUUUCUUUCAUAAAAUGUAUAUUUCACAUUUCAUUUCAGACGUUAUCAUUCAACAUGAGAGCCCUCAUUUUGCUGGCAUUAGUCAUUGGAGUGGCCUACUGCGCUCCGGUACAUCAUCUACAGUAUUUGACUGUCAGCUAUGACAAGAGAAUAUGUGAUGCUAAUAUUAUGUGAUACUAUAGCUCUGACUUUCCUGUUCUUUGACACACAGCAAUUGAUGUAUUAUGAGCUAGAGUACAAACCUGUCCUGGCUUCACAGGUUAGUUUGGUCCAAACAUUAAAUAAAUACACAUUUAUUAUUUAAAAAGACUUAAUUAAAAUGAUUCAUAGCAUAUGAGAAUAUAUAUAGUUCAUGUAUAGUAUUAUAUAUGUCAUAUAUGAUAAUACUGCAGUUUGGAUUAUAUAAAAAGUGUGUAUGAUAUUCAGCUUUUGCGCUGCGCUGCAGCUAGUUCUGUGAGUUUAGUUGGAUUUGAAAUAAUUAUUUUACCACAGUGCUCAUUUUGUCUUAUUCUCCACAGGGUCAACCUGUCCACGGCUUCAUUAAGCAUGAGAUUCCCCAGCCCGCAGGCAAAGAAAGUGUUGAAGUUGUAUGUGUAUUCGCGCUUUUUUAUUUGUCUAUUGCUACAUGAAAUAUGAAUCUCCAGCAUGAUGCCCCCAUUUAUUUCCAGUUACGUAGAAGUAAAUUCAUUUUCCUCUGUUUUCUAGCUGUACCCAUUCAGCUUUCCUCAACCUGCUCCAGCUGCUCCAGCUGUUCCAGCUGUUCCUGCUGUUCCUGCUGCCCCUGCUGCCCCAGCCCCUGUUCCAAAGGACAAUGAUGAUGAUGAUCAUGACGACUAAACCAGAUUGAUGAACAGAUAAGCUGACCACCAAUUCUUGAACCUCAAAGAAACUGCUUGUAGUGUUUAGCAAAUUGACUGAAAUAAUGUCACAGUCAAUCAAAGGGUGCUUUCUCAGUGGCUUGAUGCAUGAGAGCCAUAAAAAUCAUAGCUUUUUUGCAACCAUGUUUUUAAAUCUUGAUUUAUAAUAAACCGUACAAUCAAUUCCUUGCCUCCUUGUGUUAUUACUAUUGCUGAACAGUUAUAAUGUUAUAAUUCUUACAAAUACAUAACAAUUCCUAGUUUGACUGAUAAUAAACAUCAUCCCAAAAAUGCU
rnacentral:lncRNA from 12 species